GGUGGCUAUAGCUCAGUUGGUUAGAGCGCCAGAUUGUGGUUCUGGAGGUCGCGGCUUCAAAUCCCGUUGCCCACCC
rnacentral:tRNA from 1 species